rnacentral:rRNA from 1 species
UACGUAGGGUGCAAGCGUUGUCCGGAAUUAUUGGGCGUAAAGGGCUCGUAGGCGGUUUGUCACGUCGGGAGUGAAAACUCAGGGCUUAACCCUGAGCCUGCUUCCGAUACGGGCAGACUAGAGGUAUGCAGGGGAGGACGGAAUUCCUGGUGUAGCGGUGAAAUGCGCAGAUAUCAGGAGGAACACCGGUGGCGAAGGCGGUCUCUGGGCAUUACCUGACGCUGAGGAGCGAAAGUGUGGGGAGCGAACAGG